rnacentral:sRNA from 1 species
UAAUGUAGUUACAACACGUGCACGUUC